GAUGAACGCUGGCGGCAGGCUUAAUACACGCAAGUCGAACGGUAACAUGUCGGAGCAAUCUGAUGAUGACGAGUGGCGCACGGGUGCGUAACGCGUAUGCAACCUACCCAUAACCGGAACAUAACGUUGAGAAAUCGGCGCUAAUAUUCCAUGUGUAUAUUUUGUGGCAUCAUAGAAUAUAUAAAGAUUAAUUGGUUAUGGAUGGGCAUGCGUAUCAUUAGCUAGUUGGUGGGGUAACGGCCUACCAAGGCUGCGAUGAUUAGGGGUUCUGAGAGGAUAACCCCCCACACUGGAACUGAGACACGGUCCAGACUCCUACGGGAGGCAGCAGUAGGGAAUAUUGGGCAAUGGAGGCAACUCCGACCCACCAUGCCGCGUGAAGGAAGACGGUCCUAUGGAUUGUAAACUUCUUUUAUCAUAGAGUAACCCGCAGGGACGUGUCCCUGCCUGCAAGUAUAUGAUGAAUAAGCAUCGGCUAACUCCGUGCCAGCAGCCGCGGUAAUACGGAGGAUGCAAGCGUUAUCCGGAUUUAUUGGGUUUAAAGGGUGCGCAGCUGACCGG
rnacentral:rRNA from 1 species